rnacentral:lncRNA from 1 species
GACUGGUGGGGCCGUUGCUAUUGUUCCCCCGCAGAGUAUCUGCCAAACCAAAUGGGAGAAACUCAGAGAAAGCCAGGGCCUGGUAUCCAGGGGCUCCAGCUUGGUCAUUGCUCAAAAGCCUCCUUUUGAAUGUCCACUCUUAAGGUCAUCGUUGCUAUUUUUAUCACUGGGCUCUACCUGCUAUAAUAACCCCUAAGAACCCAGAGAGGAGUGAGGAG